CUCUCGGAGCAACAACACAACUCGGCUUCUUUGCGGUAACAACAACAAAACGAUGCUCUUUCACUGGGUUUCUCUCGGCGGCCAUGAAGGAACAAAAGCUCUCAUACAAAAAAUAACAACUCCAAGCAUAAUCAGUAACUAAAAUUACAGUAAUAACAGUAUGGAGAGUAAGAGUGGAAUCGAGUUACCUACGGCAAGGAGGAUUUUGCCGCUUCACCACAAUUUGUUGCUGGAAGCGUCGGUGUUGAAAUUGCAGGUGAUGUGUGUAUGAGGUGUAGACACGGGGCUGCAACGUUGAAGGCUCCCUUUGAUGAAGGUGAUGCCUCUUUUUUUUGAAAUUGCUUAGGACUUGAAGAUGGAUUUCAAGUAGGAACUCUCCACACCAAGGUAUGAAGAAUUUAUUCUUCACUCCCUUUGUAACUAGAAACUCUUACUUUUCAAGUGGUUUUCUUUGGUUUUGAAGAAUUUCUCCUUCUUACCAAGAAACUUUAAAACUAUGAGAAGAGGGAGAAGUGAGAAAGCAAGUAGUUUAGUUGCUUUGGUGUGUCUUGCUUCAAAGAGAAACACUUCUAUUUAUAGGCCAAAUUUAGGGAUGUGUUAGGAAUUAGGAAACUUGAUUGGAAUGUUAUGGUCAUUGCAAGAAUAAGAAUAUAUUCUUCAUCAUUGCAAGAAUAAGAAUAUAUUCUUCAUCAUUGCAAGAUAAGAAUAAGAAUAAGAAUAUUCUUAUACAAAGAUAUUUUUCAUGAUAUAAGCCAUGUGUGUAAAUUUUUAUGUCAU